UAAGUGUUCUUUCUAUGUAUCCUGGUGCCUCUGUUAUUACUAUCUUGUUAUCUAUUAAUUGUUUUGAUAUGUAUCCCAUCCAUAAUUGGAUUGUUUUAUUUAUAUCUGCUACACAGUCUAAAUCUAAAAAAUUAUGUUGUCCAGUUAUUGGUUUAGGUGUUCAUUUUUUAUUUAAUCUUUUAUCCCAUGUAGUUUUUUCUUUAUCUUAUUG
rnacentral:lncRNA from 1 species